rnacentral:rRNA from 1 species
GACGAACGCUGGCGGCGUGCCUAAUACAUGCAAGUCGAGCGGGGAUUAUGCUUGAUCGCUUCGGUGAGACGGCAUAUAUCCUAGCGGCGGACGGGUGAGUAACGCGUGGGUAAUCUACCUCGUAGUUCGGGAUAACAGGCCGAAAGGCUUGCUAAUACCGGAUGAGUUCAUGCUUAUGCAUAUAGGCAUGAAGAAAGGGCUAGCCCGCUAUGAGAUGAGCCCGCGUCCCAUUAGCUUGUUGGUGGGGUAACGGCCUACCAAGGCAACGAUGGGUAGCCGGCCUUAACGGGGUGGUCGCCCACACUGGGAUUGAGAUACGGCCCAGACUCCUACGGGAGGCAGCAGUCGAGAAUAGUCUACAAUGGCCGGAAGGCUGAUAGUGCGACGCCGCGUGAACGAGGGAGCCCGUUCGGGGUGUAAAGUUCUUUUCUAUACGAGCAGUGCUAUAUAUAUGGAUAGUAUAUAUAGAGGGAUAGUAGUAUAGGAAUAAGAC